UACCAAUGUGGACAGCUAAAGCUUUACCUCAGCUAAAUAUGAAGACAAUUUGAGAAAUAUUAAAUGAAAUUAAUAUUUGUUGGAAAUUCUCAGGCAGAUAGAUAGACGAUAGAGAACUCCAAAAACCAUAAUUCUUUGCAACAGGAAGGGGUGGAGUUUAGAGUUUAUAAGGUCACAGUCAGCCAUUUUUUUUUCUGUUUUUCUGUUGUUUGUGAUGGAAUUAGGGUUUAUGACUCUGGAUUUACUAUGACUUGAAAAUGAUGUGUCCCAGAAACACUGUUCCUUGGAUGUGCUCUUGUGUAAAACCAGACAUCCACCCAUGCUUUUCCUCAGUCAUUCAGGCAUCAUAGAGUUCUACAGUCUUUUAC